UUUUAAAGAAUCCUCUCCUAAAUAAUAAAUACUUAACUUAUCCAUCAGGCCACUUCUCAUGCGCAUAUGCCACGCAAGCCAUGCAUUUCAUGUGUAUGUAACAAAUUCCUCACUUUAGGUCUUGUCUCUCUCUUUCUCCUCCCAUGACUUUGAUCACGCACAGACCAACUUAGUAGAGUUUUAUACUUUCACAUCAUCAUCAGCCUUGAAGAGUUGUGAGUCUUGUGACACAUCAUGUGAGGUAUCGAGUUUGAUGAAAGAGAAUACUGGACAACCACAGUCCACAGGUACCUCGUGCAUGAAGUAAAUGAAUAGACACAUCUCUUCAUGGAGAGAUGGGCCCACCACACCCCACUUAAUGGUUUGGUUUUUCUCCUCCUCCAGCAGACACGAGGUUUGCAUGAAGGUCCAAGUGGAAAAGCCAUCAUGUGCACGUGCCUAUACAGUUCUUCCUCUUCACCACUUGUCCAUUCUGUCUCUCUCUCUCUAAACCCGUCUCUGUGUCUUUGGGUGCUUCCCUCCUCUCCUUCUUAGCCCUGGCCAGGGGUGGUGAUUCGCUUGCUUCUUGCUUCCAAAUAUGUCAUCUCAGGGAAAAGAGAGAUAAGAGAGAUAGAGACACAUGGAGGUGCUAGCCUAUGCUUCCCCACCGGAACCCCUCCAAGAAGAUUGCAUUGUUUAUUGUAGAGAUUGUUGCAUGACACCUCUAUAGUAUACUUUUUUUAAAUUAAAUAUUUUUAAGAGAA